rnacentral:miRNA from 1 species
AGGGGAGGUGGUAUGGUCUCA